CAUGCGUCAAGAAAAGCCGCUAUUGUUUAUACCGUACCCGUACCGUAAACCGACACAGGUGGAUGAGGAGAGAAUCCUAAGGCCGGCGGAAGAAGCAUUGUCAAGGAACUCGGCAAAAUGGCCCCGUAACUUAGGGAUAAGGGGUGCCUGGGAAACCAGGCCGCAGAGAAUAGGCUCAAGCAACUGUUUAGCAAAAACACAGGUCUAUGCGAAACCGAAAGGUGAGGUAUAUGGGCUGACGCCUGCCCGGUGCUGGAAGGUUAAGAGGAGAUGUUAGCGGUAACGCGAAGCUUUGAAUUUAAGCCCCAGUAAACGGCGGCCGUAACAAUAACGGUCCUAAGGUAGCGAAAUUCCUUGUCGGGUAAGUUCCGACCUGCACGAAAGGCGUAAUGAUUUGAGCGCUGUCUCGACAAUGCAUCCGGUGAAAUUGAAGUACCAGUGAAGAUGCUGGUUACCUGCGCCAGGACGGAAAGACCCCAUGGAGCUUUACUCCAGUCUGGUACUGGGACUCGGUAUUGCAUGUACAGGAUAGGUGGGAGGCUAGGAGAUGGUAACGCCAGUUGCCAUGGAGCCGCUGUUGGGAUACCACCCUUGCAGUAUUGGGUUUCUAACCAGCCGCCGUGACCCGGCGGUGGGACAAUGCCAGACGGGGAGUUUGACUGGGGCGGUCGCCUCCGAAAGGGUAUCGGAGGCGCCCAAAGGUUCCCUCAGAAUGGACGGAAACCAUUCGAAGAGUGCAAAGGCAGAAGGGAGCUUGACUGCGACACCGACGGGUGGAGCAGGUACGAAAGUAGGGCUUAGUGAUCCGGUGGUAUUAAGUGGGAAUGCCAUCGCUCAACGGAUAAAAGCUACCCUGGGAUAACAGGCUUAUCACUCCCAAGAGUUCACAUCGACGGAGUGGUUUGGCACCUCGAUGUCGGCUCAUCGCAUCCUGGGGCUGUAGUAGGUCCCAAGGGUUGGGCUGUUCGCCCAUUAAAGCGGUACGCGAGCUGGGUUCAGAACGUCGUGAGACAGUUCGGUCCCUAUCCGGCGUGGGCGUAGGAUAUCUGAGAGGAGCUGUCCUUAGUACGAGAGGACCGGGAUGGACGGGCCGCUGGUGCAUCGGUUAGACUGCCAAGUCUACGGCCGAGUAGCCAAGCCCGGAAGGGAUAAACGCUGAAGGCAUCUAAGCGUGAAGCCCCCCUUAAGAUGAGAUAUCCCAUUCGAAAGAAGUAAACCCCCUUGAAGACGACGAGGUAGAUAGGGCAGAGGUGGAGGUGCAGCAAUGCAUGGAGCUGACUGUUACUAAUCGGGUGAGGGCUUGACCG
rnacentral:rRNA from 1 species